GAUGAACGCUGGCGGCGUGCUUAACACAUGCAAGUCGAGCGAACAGGUCCUGCUCUUGUUGGGUGCUCGUUAGGCGAACGGGGGAGUAACACGCGAGUAUCCCGCCCUUGUCUUAGGGGUAACUUCAGGAGACUGGGGCUAAUACCGGGUAGGAGCUCCUGCUCCAUGGUGGGGGUUGGUAAGAUUCGGCGGUUGGGGCUGGUAUCGCGGCUUACCAGCUUGUUUGGGGGGUGGUGGCUUUCCCAGGCUUUGACGGGUACACGGCCUGAGCGGGUGACCGGCCACAUAGGGUCUGAGAUGCGGCCCAGACUCCUACGGGAGGCAACAGUGCGGAAGACUGCCCGAUGGGCGGAGCCCUAAUGCAGCAACGCCGCGUGCCGUAUGACGGCCUUCGGAUUGUAGACCACAUUCGCCUGUGACGAAGCGUGAGUUGCGGUAACGUGUAAAGAAGCACCGGCUAACUACGUG
rnacentral:rRNA from 1 species